ACGCUCGUCGUCGUCGUGGUCGUGGGAUCGCCGUCAUCGCAGUCGUACCUCAGUCCCACAGUGUCUGUCUAUUAUAAACUACAAACUACCCACAAUCCCUCAUUCCUACAUUGUGUCUUUAGAGAAGAUUGACAAGGCGCCAUUAAUGCUCCUGUAUUCUACACAAAAAACACAACAAAUAUCUCGCUUCGUCUCGCCUGCUUUUAGUUUCCAACCCAAAAAUACUUGGCAAAGGGUUUUUGAGAUGUCGGACCCAAAUGACCAACUUCAUCCGAACAUACCACCACCACCUCCUCCACCACAAUAUAUGAACACAGCGGUAGCUGCCGUUACUGCUGCUGGUCUUGUAGGCCCUCCACCACCAGCUGCCAUCGUUGGCACCGUGGGCACUUUCAACAACUAUCGUCCUGCGGUCGCAGUCAAUUCGGUCGCUGUGAACGCUGUCGGUGUGGUCAGUGGUGUCGGCGGUGCGGUCAUCGCAACAGGUGGCUACAGGACCGACUACAAUGACGCCUACCGGGGCGACUACGGCGCUGCCACCAGCUGCCCGCCGCCUGUCAUCCCUGUCGGCCUCGUGGCGGGCAGCAACAACCUCGUCACCGCCGCCGCCAGCACUGCCAUCACCGCGCCGACGUCGGGGAACACCGUCAGUCCUCCGCCGCCGCCGCCACCUGCUGUCGCCAACCCUGCCACCACCACUAGCACGAGUGGCAACAGUAACGCUGGUUACGACACCGGCUACUGCGAGAGUGACUACCGAGACGACUAUAACUACGAGGACAGACAUGGCUACCGAAAGGACUCGGAGUUCCGGGAUAGAGACAGGGACAGAUCUCAUCAGCCUGACAGGAGGGUGCAUGACAGACGCAGAGGUCGGGUGGUAGACCGAUCUCGGCGCGACCGGGAUCGUGACAGGGACCGUGAUCGAGACCGAGGCUUCGACCGAGAUCGAGACCGGAGCAGAAGUCGUGAUGGACGAGAUAGAAAGGACCGACCCUCUCGGGAACGAGGGGACCGAUACGAAGAAGGCUUUGAUUGUGAUAGUUCUAGUCGUGAUAGCGGGGAAAGUUUCAGGGACCAGGACAGCGGCCGAGAAGGUCGAGAGGACCGAGCUGGUGAGCGAUGGAUGACCGACACACCUACACACACCAUUCUUCUAAGAGGACUUCCAAACCAGAUUGACGAAAAGGAUAUAUUGACGGAACUAAUGAUAAUUGGACUCAGUGUCAAAGACGUUCGAUUAAUGAGGAAAAGUUCCGGUGCAUCCCGUGGGUUUGCUUUUGUGGAGUUUCAGAACGUAGCAGAUGCCCAGCGCUGGAUGGAACAGAAUCAGGGGUCGCUCUACCUGCAGGACCAGUUCCAUGUCACUAUGCACUACAGUCAGCCCAAAAUGGGGCCUGAGAAGGUACAGAAGUGUGACUGGGUUUGUACGAAGUGUGGAGCUCACAAUUUCAAACGAAGAGAUUUCUGUUUCCAAUGCAGUGUGUCACGAGAAGAAUCAGAACGAGCCAAAGAAGGAGAUGGAUUUGACCAAGUUGGAACAAACCCUUGCAAUACUUUGAUAUUCCGUGGUCUGGACGCCCUGACCACUGAAGAGACGUUGUCGCAAGCGCUGAGCCAGCAGAUGUCGCUUACACUGAAGAACAUUAAGAUUAUCCGUGAUGAACUAACGAACACGUCACAGGGCUACGGCUUUGCCGAAAUGGGUUCCAUCCUCGAGUCUACACAAGUCUUGGAGCAUUUACGCCAGAUGAACCCACCUUUUGAAGUGGAGGGCAAACUAAUCUUGGUAGCAUUUGCCAAGAACACCUUUAGUACAGUAAUGGCAACACUCAACAGCCGACCUAACUCUUACACGGGAGGUCAAAUGGUGAGUAAGCAGCGUUCCUGGAACUACGAUCAACAACAUGGUGAUUAUUAUUAUAAUCCGUCUGGUUAUGAACAUUCAACAUUCUACGACCAAAAUAAUCCUCACUAUGGCCAAGGUCAAGGUUAUGACUCCAGUUACUACAACCAAAAUUACAGCCAUCAAGCCGAUUCCACCAAUGCUGCAGCCGCCGUGGCACAAGCUGCCAUUCAACAAGCCCAAGCUGCAAAACAGUACCAGAAACAUUAUCAGAAACAGGUGCAAGAACAACAGAAAUUGGCUGAAAUGUCUCCCGAGCAGCGUUUGGCCCAUCUGGCUCAGAAUUGGUCACAACAAAAAAAUCUUUCUCCAUCUUCACAGUCUUCCCAGGCGCUAUCAGCAGCCGGAACCGCAGCCACGGCAGCCGCCGUAACAGUUGGCGCACCCACCACCGUCGACGUGAAUGCAGAUGGCAGCACAAUCACUGAUAGUUCUACGCAUAAAGGCUCGCCAACCGUUUCCAAACUGCCUGUUCUACAGAGUUCACAACCUGCCUUUCAGACGCCAACAGGAAUGCCAGUCAAUGACGAGUACCCCAAAUAUCCAUCACCUGAUGUUUGUACCUAUCAGUAUGACGACAGCUCUGGAUAUUACUACGAUCCUUCCACUGGACUCUAUUACGAUGCCAACUCUCAAUAUUAUUACAAUGCUUCCACGUGCCAAUUUUUGUACUGGGAUGCUGAGAAAUCCACUUAUCUACCUGCUCCAACUGGGGCUGGAGGUCAGCAAUGUGAUGACAAAGAUGGAGACAACAGAGGCAAAAAGAAGGAAGACAAGAAAGAAAAAGUGAAGAUUGCCAAAAAAAUUGCAAAGGAUAUGGAAAAAUGGGCGAAAACAUUGAACGCUCAAAAGGAGGCUAUCAAAGAAGGUUUUAAGAAGACAAGUGUAAAUAUCAUAGGCCCCAUUGCUCCUAUGAAACGGGUGAUUGAAGAACGUGAGUCUGCAACUGCUGACGCUGGCUAUGCAAUCCUUGAGAAAACGAGUAGCGGCAGAGGUCUAGAAGACAAACGGUUAAUGCCCCCACCUUGUCCAAUGACGCCUACUGAAAAAGCAGCCGCGGCAGCUGCAGCAGCUGCCGCCGCUACUGAGGCAGUAGCAGCCAACAAUCCGGCCCUUGUGGCCUCAUAUGGAGGUGACAGUGAUUCUGAGGACGAAUCAUUUGAGACAACGCCAGCCCCUGGCAAUACCCAACGAACCGGUGUCCUUGAUGAGGCCAAGCUGACUGACUGGAACAAACUCGCCUGUUUGCUGUGCAAACGACAGUUUCCCAGCAAAGAGGCCCUCACAAGACACACGCAGCUCUCUGAUUUACACAAGCAAAAUCUUGAAGUGAUGAGGAAAAAAUAUAGCUCUGGUGCAGCUGAUGGGGAUAAAAAAGGACCGCUACGAGGAACCAACCAAGCAAGGUAUCGGAAUUGAUAACAUUGGAAACAAACUGCUACAGAAGAUGGGGUGGAGUGAGGGACAAGGUCUGGGUAAAAAAGGUCAAGGGAUUGUUGCACCUAUCCAGGCCCAACGGAGAUUAGCGAGUGCGGGACUCGGUGCUCGGGGAGCAAACAUUGUCUGUGAUGUCAGCGACUCUUACAAAACGGCAGUGAAGAAAUCCAUGUUUGCACGUUACCAUGAACUCGAAUGAACUCAACAACA
rnacentral:misc_RNA from 1 species